rnacentral:rRNA from 1 species
GACGAACGCUGGCGGCGUGCUUAACACAUGCAAGUCGAACGCGCCUGUCCUCUGGGUUUCUGUGGGGUGGGUGAGUGGCGAACGGGUGAGUAACACGUGAGUAACCUGCCCCCUUCUUCGGGAUAACGGUCUGAAAGGGCUGCUAAUACCGGGUAUUCACUGGUCUCCGCAUGGGGUCUGGUGGAAAGGUUUUUUUCUGGUGGGGGAUGGGCUCGCGGCCUAUCAGCUUGUUGGUGGGGUGAUGGCCCACCAAGGCUUUGACGGGUAGCCGGCCUGAGAGGGUGACCGGUCACAUUGGGACUGAGAUACGGCCCAGACUCCUACGGGAGGCAGCAGUGGGGAAUAUUGCACAAUGGGCGCAAGCCUGAUGCAGCGACGCCGCGUGAGGGAUGGAGGCCUUCGGGUUGUGAACCUCUUUCGCCCGUGGUCAAGCCGCGACGUGGGUCGUGGUGAGGGUAGUGGGUAAAGAAGCGCCGGCUAACUACGUG